UAACGGGCCAAAUCUUGUUCACUUUCACUCUUUAAAUAGACUGACGGUAGACACAAAGUCCAAUUAAGUUUGUGUGCAGUUUCUUCUCAUGUGCUGUAAAGAAGUGCUGGAUAAUAGUAAAACAGUGUCUGUGUUUCUGCUUACUUCAGGUGAGAUCUGAGGAUCAUAUAACCACCCUGUUUUCUUUCUUUUUUUUAUUAGGUGCAUGCAUUUUUUUUCUGCUGUUUGACCUGCCUGGUGAGUAUGUGUAACAUAGAAAAUUUUUUUUUAAAAAUAGAUUUGGUGACAUUAAUACGAUUAAUAAAUACCACAUUUGUAUCAAUACUGUAUAGUGAUUCAACGCUGUGUUUAUUUGUAGGUGCUUCUUCUCUAACUGUGACGGGACAAAAGGGCGUCAAUAUUACCCUGCCGUGUAAUUCAAGCAAAAAUGAUUUAUCCACUGUUCUGACAUUUGGGUCCAAAACUGCUUAUGGUAACCGUCAGGAUGAACACUUCAGGGGCCGCAUGCACAAGAGUGGCAACUGUGACCUCGUUCUACAACACUUAAAGACCACUGAUGCUGGCAAAUACAAUUUAAAAGUUUAUGCCAACGGUCAACUACUAGACAGCUACAGUUACGACCUCUGUGUUGAUGUUCAUUUAACAGCACGGGUAGGCGAAGAGGUAAAGUUUGACUAUCUGCCGCGUGAUGCUGGGAGCGUCAAGCAUUUUACAAACACAGGCUUGAUAGAUGUGUGGAGAAGAGAGCAGGGUUUCCUGACUGAUCGACUGGCCGACAAGAAUGACCACCUGACCAUUAAAAACUUCACAUCAAGUGACGCUGGAACACAGAGUCCUGAACAAAACUGGAGGAAUCCUGGUGACUGUGACGGUCACAACAGAAUCAGGCACAGCAUCAAAGGACAAACAGGACCGCACACGUGAUGACAAAACUGAUGGCACUGAACGAGUUC